rnacentral:rRNA from 1 species
UGAAAUUUAAUAAAUUUUUAAGAAAGUAAAUAAAAAUAAAACUAGGAUUAGAUACCCUAUUAUUUUUUAGUUGUAUUAAAGUAGUAAAUUAUAAUAACAAAACUUAAUUUUUUUGGCGGUUUUCUAUAUAUUCACAGGAACUUGUAUAAUUAAAAAGAUAACCCACUUUUAAUUUUACCUUUUUUAUUUUUUUGUACGGUUGUUAGAUAAAAAUUUAUUUUUUUUCUCAAAAAAUAAAAUAUUUUUAAUUCAGAUCAAUGUGAAGAUAAUAAAAAGGAUUAUAUGAGUUACAAAAAUUAGAAAAAUUAAUUUCAUAAAUUUUUAAAAAUGGAUGUGAAACGUAAAAAUUUAAUAAAAAUAAAUUUUGGAUUAUUCCUAGAAAAAGUACAUAUCGCCCGUCACUCUUAUAAAUUAGAUAAGUCGUAACAAAGUAGAAAUACUGGAAA